UCUUAGCUUUGGGGGUUUUAACAUAAGAAUGGUAUGAUGCUCCAGACUCGACGACAAGUGCUAUCCUCAUGAGGCCAGACAAGUCGUUGUGCCAAUCCAGCGAGAGUGUCCAACAGCGGAAAGUCAUCUGAAGAAUCAUGUCCCAGUGAGUAGUCCAGCUCCAGCAACAAGACCACAUCUGGCUUCCACCAAGAAGCUGGACCAGCGGCAUUGUACUCAGAUUCAAUGAUGACAACACGCACACCUUUCCCUGAUGCUUGGGCAAAGGCAUGUAUGUCCGAUGUGCAGGCAAAACUUUAUAGAUGCAGAUUACAUACAUUAGAAAUUGCCAACUCGGUGGAUGAUAAAUACUAUGACUUGGGACUCAGAAAAAAGAUCAACACGUAGAUGCAGAUUACAUAGAUCAGGACUUGCUAACUCGGCGUAUGACACAUACUAAACGACAUCAACACGUAGGUGAGACCAUUGACUAUUAGAGGUGAGUCGGCAAGCUGUUUUCUUCCAUGGUUUGGCAUGUAACUUUGUGUUCUCUAGCUCAUUUUAGUUUUAUAUUUUUCUAACAAACAAGACCAACCUUAACUUAAGAAGAAUAGCAUCAUUAUAACCAUGAAAAAAAAUCUGCUUAAAUGUAAGGCUUUUGUUCGUCUAUUAAGUCAUUACCCGUCUAAACGAGACACGGAAAUAAUGAAUUCUUACAUGGUAAGUUUUUGUUUCAUUUUCAUUCUUUGCCUUAUCCCGUGUUGGAAAAGAAGUUCAAUUGUUUUUUUCCUCACAAUGUACCAAAGAUUCUGAUGAAAGAUGCUUAUUUUUCUCUCAGCUUCAAGAAACAGUCACUAUAUACUCUGUUUUGUAUAUAUUAUGUAGUUGUAAGGAGAUGUUUUAUUUUCUUUAUAUGCUACUAUUUUAACAUCUUGGAAGAGUCCUGAAUUUAUUGGAGACAACAAAGUGGGCGCACCAUGUGAGUUAUUUGGCACCUUGAUGCAGCAAAUCAACACAUGUUUGAGCUACAACGGAGGUCACAUAAAUAAAUCAGAGGAAUAGACUCGGCAAGGAAGGGAGCUACUCCAGUGUAGUCGGUGGAAUUGACUGGCAAAGUAAAUCAUGAAUCUCCUGGUUGGACCAAGAGGCUAAGAAUUGGGGCUGCACCUCCUACAACAGUCAGUUUCAUCAGUGGCCUGCCAACAACACUGGUGAAGGAAUGAGGGUGGCCCGAGACCGAUAACAGGGGGCUCUUGAACUGGCAAAGCCAGAAGCCACCAUCGCUUCAUUGUCCCCGGAGAUCGUUUGGUGUUGUCCGAUGGAUAUCACGUGACGGAGUGGAGACGCACACUCCCCUGCCCCAACUUUGGUGGCGCCAUCUACCAAUGCGGGGCACAGUCCUGCCUGACCCGGCCUACAUCUUGAUUGUAAAUUUCUCUCACCUUCUAUCUCGUGUUCAUGUGGUCGUAUUGAUUUUGCCUUUUGAGAAGUGUUGAAAGAAGAUUAUGUGCUUCAGACGACUGAAUGUCCAGUAAUAUCAUCAACCUUCAG